rnacentral:rRNA from 1 species
GACGGACGCUGGCGGCGCGCUUAACACAUGCAAGUCGAGCGAUGAAACUCUAACAGAACCCUUCGGGGCGAAGAUAAAGGGGAUUAUCGCCGGACGGGUGAGUAACACGUGAUUAACCUGCCUUAGACAUUGGGAUAGCCUCGGGAAACCGGGAUUAAUACCAAAUAAAAUCAUAAUGACACAUGUCAUAACGAUCAAAACUCCGGUGGUCUAAGAUGGACUCGCGUCCGAUUAGCUAGUUGGUAGAGUAAAAGCCUACCAAGGCGUCGAUGGGUAGCCGGCCUGAGAGGGGGAACGACCACAUUGGAACUGAGAAACGGUCCAAACUCGUACGGGAGGGAGCAGUGGGGAAUAUUGCGCGAGGGAGGGAAAUCUGAUGAAGCGGCGCGGCGUAAACGAAGAAGGCUUUCGAGACGUAAAGUUCUUUUAUAUGAGGAGAUAGUGACGGUACCAUAAGAAAAAGCCCCGGCUAACUACGUG